UACGUAGGGGGCAAGCGUUGUCCGGAUUUAUUGGGCGUAAAGAGCGUGUAGGCGGCUAGAUAGGUCCGUUGUGAAAACUCGAGGCUCAACCUCGAGACGCCGGUGGAAACCAUCUAGCUAGAGUCCGGAAGAGGAGAGUGGAAUUCCCGGUGUAGCGGUGAAAUGCGCAGAUAUCGGGAAGAACACCCGUGGCGAAGGCGGCUCUCUGGGACGGUACUGACGCUGAGACGCGAAAGCGUGGGGAGCGAACAGG
rnacentral:rRNA from 1 species